GAUCCUGGCUCCGGAUGAACGCUAGCUACAGGCUUAACACAUGCAAGUCGAGGGGCAGCGGGAUUGAAGCUUGCUUCAAUUGCCGGCGACCGGCGCACGGGUGAGUAACGCGUAUCCAACCUUCGGUACACUCAGGGAUAGCCUUUCGAAAGAAAGAUUAAUACCUGAUGGUAUCUUAAGCACACAUGUAAUUAAGAUUAAAGAUUCAUCGGUGUACGAUGGGGAUGCGUUCCAUUAGGUAGUAGGG
rnacentral:rRNA from 1 species